rnacentral:lncRNA from 1 species
GUAGCCUAGUUUUCUCGUUUGUCGUUUGUUCACUUAUUUAUUAUUAUUAUUAUUAUUUUGACUCGUAAUGGGUAUGAGGUGUAAGGGGGCCUAUUACGGAUGUUAAGGGGAGAGGGCACCGCUCGGGUUUUAAUAAGCAUCUGUGGAGCUCAUUUAUAAGAUUGGCAUCCUCUGCUUCUGCAGAAAACAUGGCUACCAACAGCUUCUGUAUCCACCUGCGGAGGAGACUGACUGCUCUGUUAUUCCCCCAGCAUCUGUGAAGAGGCUCUGACUGGCUAAAGUGUUGGUAUAGUGAUCACCCCAGGGUUAGGCAACCAUGGCUGGUGAAAAGGAAAAACGUUAUGAACCUGGCUGUGCGGAGCUACCUGAGGAAGCUUGUAGGAGAAGGGUCAGUUUGCAGAGAAAGGGGGGCCUGGGCAGAUGACGCAAGAGGUGCCCAUUACAUCCCUCUAGAGGAAGGAGUCUGUAGCUUUAGGGGAAGACAGAGCCACAAGAUGGAAGGAGCUUGGAUGUCUGAACUAUUCCAUGGAGAAAAGCUGCAGCCAACGAAGAACACCUGCAAUGGACUCUUAACCUGGGGGUGACGACAACCACUGAAAUAUGCUGCAUCUUAGUCCAGGGAUUUUUAAAGUGUGGUUCCUGGAAGAGCUGGAUCAGAGUCAUCUGUGUUGAUGGUUUAACAUAAAGAUUUUCGAGCCCCAAGACUCAAGUAGGACAAGGAAUUUGAAUUUUUAAGCAGCUCACCUGACUUGUCUGUCCUCUAAUGUCUGAAGACAUCUGACCUCUGCUCUUUCAGUAAAAGCAACAAUGGUUUUAUGAGCAUUGUCGUCACAUCUCUCCACUCAAGGGAUCCUUCUCAUUUCUCCCAGCUGAGGUCACCCACAGCUGCUGCUUCUAACUGCUGGCUUCCAGCCUGCUGUCUGCCAGCUGGCUCUACCCUCUCCUAUAACACGGCAGAGAGUAGCUGUGGUCUCCUGCGUGCUCACCCUCUGCUCCCUUGGUCCUGCUCCAUGCUUUGGUCCUGCACUUAAAUUUUACAAGCAUACUCUCUUUCUCUUAAGAAUGAUUUUCAAUGCCAUUUAGAGGAAAUCUUGGGAUCAACUUGGGAAAAGACGGAGGCUCCUGGCUCUGAUCUUUGGGGACUUCAGAUUUUCUGGAUCAAGGAGAAAAAUGAGCCAAAUAUGGAGGAUCCCAUCAGCUGCAGCAAAGCUACUGGCCAUGAAGGGAAGUGAGAGAAGCAAAGAGAAGAGUGAAGCAGAAUGGGAAGGAAAAUGAUGAUUCUAUGGGCACCAAUCAUGUGAGUCUUCUUGAGGCUUUACCAAGGAAACAGGCAGUUUUAGAGUUGGCCUUAAGGAUGUUCUCUGGUGUCAUCAAAGAAAUGGAAAUGCAAAGCAGAGACAUGUGCAUUUAGAUAUGUGUAAGACUGUAGACUAUUUUUAGUGGAAAAUGGCUGCUGAGUGUGUGGAAAGAGUAUAAAAGAUUUCAGUGGGAAGAUUCUACAAUCAUUUGAGAUUCUCCAUUGCUGGAAAAUUCUCAAAUUAGGCUUAUGAAGGCAAUUUGAUUUAGCAAACAGCUCUCUGGACCAAGCAAAUCUUCUCAGCAGGGAUGGAAUUUGAACUGCACUUGUCCCUGGUUCUCACCUUCCCUGAGAAGCAGUGCAUCUGCAGUGUCCCAGGUGAUGCCCCCCACAGGCCUUGAAGCUUGUCUUCCAGAAGAGCCUUCAUUUCAGGGGCAGCAUUCCAGGAAGCACGCCCAUGAAACACUCAUGAGGAGGAACUGGGCUGCCAAUUAUGACUUGUCACUGCUCCAUCAACAUAAAAGCUCGGCAGCACUCAGAUGGCUCUUGAAAAUCUUUGAGAUAUAAUCUGAAAGGAGGUCCCAGUUUCUGCCCCGGGCUGUUUGCAUCAUCAACCUGCAAAAUUCCAAUCUUGGAACUUGCUGAGAUUUUCAUUCUGAGACUCUCUGCCCUGGGCCUUGAGGAUAGCCAGAAGAAUACUAUAUUUCUUCUGCCUCUCUUUCUCUUUCUAUCUAAAGAGGUCAGGAUUAUAUAUCCACUUUGCUGAAUAUAGAAUCAAACCCAAUUGCCAUCAGCAAGUGCUGUAUAUCACCUACCACACCUGGGACCAGGCAUCAACAAGACCUUGACAGGGCCAGAAGCCUCAAGCCCUCAUUGCCAAGCCCAUUAAAAUCAGGAACUCAAUCUCAUUAAGGAAGGAGUGCAAUGGAUAUAGCCAGACAGGAGGAUUUCCACUUCAGUAUUAUCCUGAAUAGUGAACAACCAUCUCUGCUUUUCUCAGGGAGAAAGAUGUGGUAACAGUCACAAUGAUAGUAGACGAUGGUGACUGUUUAAUUUGUCAUGGCUAACAUAUAUGGUUAGCAAAUUGAGUUUCCUUUUAGGUAUAGUCUGAAUUGAACUGAAGUUCAUUAUAAUUCCCCUAAGUUGAUCUGUGAGGGCAUUUUAGCCUUCUUGGUAAAAUUAAAUAAUAUCAGUCAAAAAGGCUGUUAAACCAAUUCUUACACUUGAAAGCUUCCAGUUAUUCUAAUAAUUUGGAAUCUGUGUCUCCCCCUCUGUGGCAAUGAGGCUGUUGCUUGCUUUUCCCAAGAGACUGUAUUGCAUCUUUCUUGUUUUCUGAGAUGAGAAACAACCUCAAGGUCAUGCCCAGUGAUAUGGUUUGGCUCUGUGCCCCCACCCAAAUCUCAUCCCGAAUUGUAAUCCCCACAUGUCGGAGGAGGGGCUUGGUGGGAGGUGACUGGAUUAUGGGGGUGUAUUUACCCCUUGUUUUCAUGAUAGUGAGUUCUCAUGAGAUUUGAUGGUUUAAAACUGUGUGGCACCGCCCCCUGCAAGCUCCCUCUCUCUCCUGCCACCAAGUAAGACGUGCCUUGCUUCUUCUUUGCCUUCUGCCAUGAUUGUAAGUUUUCUGAGGCUUCCCCAGCCAUGCAGAACUGUGU